CUUGAACGCUGGCGGCAGGCCUAACACAUGCAAGUCGAGCGAGCGGCGGACGGGUGAGUAAUGUAUGGGGAUCUGCCCGAUAGAGGGGGAUAACUAAUGGAAACGGUGGCUAAUACCGAUUACUAUCGUAUCAACCCAUGGGGGAUUAGCUAGUAGGUGGGGUAAAGGCUCACAUAGGCGACGAUCUCUAGCUGGUCUGAGAGGAUGAUCAGCAAAACUGGGACUGAGACACGGCCCAGACUCCUACGGGAGGCAGCAGUGGUGAAUAUUGCACAAUGGGCGAAAGCCUGAUGCAGCCAUGCCGCGUGAAUGAAGAAGGCCUUAGGGUGGUAAAGUACUUUCAGCGGGGAGGCGUUACCCGCAGAAGAAGCAACGGCUAACUCCGUGCCAGCCGCCGCGGUAAUAC
rnacentral:rRNA from 1 species